rnacentral:hammerhead_ribozyme from 1 species
AUCUAGCUGAAGAGUCCUAAACAGGAUGAAACGCGCGUACUGGAU